rnacentral:lncRNA from 1 species
GAAAUUAACUUGCAAGAAAGUAGAAGUUAGAAGUUAGCAUUGCAUGAUGUAAUGUUAGAAGUUAGGUUAAAAGAACAAUCACUUGAGGAUCAUCUAUCAAUAAAUCAAAGGACCCGAACAUAUGCUUCUCCAAGGGAUAACCUAUCAUCAACUCUCAAAGUGUCAAAAAUGAUAAAUGGAUCAUUUAUCAAUAUGUUUGAAUUGAAGAAGAUUGAAUCAACCUAGGAUAUUCAUCUAUGGAUGAUUUGAG